GUGGUUACUCCGCAUUCUUUCUUACGCUGGUUUGAUCAGGCUGCUGAGAGAACUCUUCUUAGUGGGAGAAAGGGGGAGUUGGCAGUGGAAAGCUUAGGUUCGGAGCUCAGAGCUCUGUCCCAGAAGGGCAGUUUGGGGAGAAAUGGCGGUAACUUUUACCAGAGACCGUGCCAGACGCAUUAAGGUUUGAAUCACAGAGCAUUAACUGCACCAGGUAAAAGUUAGAAUCGAAGCCAGAGACAAUAUAAAUGUGGCUAGAAGCCAGAAGCAUGGCUUCGGGAAACUUAAGUCUGCCAGAGAAAUGGGGUAUAGCACUGGUAUCUUGACAGUGUUAAUGACUCCCCCUACCACAUUGUUUCUAGGCUCUCAAGUGUUGGAACCUGAACUGUGGCUCAGGGAAGGGAACCGUGGCUAGCUAAGGAGGCCAUGCUUCAUGUAACUUCUUCCAGAACUCAUGUCAACACCACGCCCUCAGCUGCUGGUGGCGGCUGCUCAGCAGACCCUGGGCACGGGAAAGAGAAAGGGCCCACCUAGAGCUGUCUGUCUUCACCUAGCCGGAGAGGUGCUGGCUGUGGCCCGCGGGCUGAAGCCAGCGGUUCUGUAUGAUUGCAACUCUGCGGGUGUACUGGCGCUCCAGAGCUAUCUGGAGGCGCUGCAGGGGCUGGGCUUCCUGACGCUGGGACUUCACAUUCUUGAGAUUGGAGAGAAUAACCUCAUUGUCAGUCCUGAGCAUGCCUGUCAGCAUUUGGAGCAGGUACUGCUGGGUACCACAGCUUUAGUGGAUGUUUCCUGCUCACAGCCCCAUCCUUCUGUCUGUUCAUUGGACCAGCUCCAGGAUCUGAAAUCUCUCAUCGCUGAGAUCAUCACACAUUUUCAAGGACUGCAGAAGGAUGUGUCUCUGGGAGUCUCCUACAGCAAGCUGCAUUCCUCAGAUUGGAAUCUCUGCACUGUAUUUGGGAUACUCCUGGGCUAUCCUGUCUCUUACACAUUUCACCUGAACCAUGAAGGUGGCAACUGCUUAGCUAUGACCCCCUUGCGGGUGUUCACUGUUCAGAUUUCAUGGCUGCCUGGUCAACCUCCAAUUCUGCUCUACUCCUUUAGUGUUCCAGAGAGUUUGUUCCCAGCCCUGAGGGACUUUCUAAGCACCUGGGAGAAGGAGCUCAGAACUCGAUUUAGGACUCAGAGUGACUUUGGUGCCCUCAGCAUCUCCUCUGAGAUAGUCACACUGCCUGCUGUGGCCCUCUGACCUAACUCUGCUGGUUGAGAAGGUAUCAGUGAAUGCUCACCUCUGGAUGGAAGAUGUCAGUUAGCAUCCUAAGUGUUCAGUCACUCGGCCACGUGUGUGAAUGGGGAUAGCUGUCGGCCGUGACAGAUGCCAGAAGUUACUCAGAUCGCCAGGCUGUCUUUGUUUGCCAGGAACACUGCUAGUGCCGUAGCAAUCACCACCAUCAGCACCGGGAGCCAUUGGCCACAUUGCCGCUGUGUGGAAGGAGGUGGAGACAGGAGAGAGCAUCUGUGAGUUAGCUGGAGGAAAUAUGGGAUCAAGAUGUAAAGCUUCAGCUACUUCUUCAGCACCAUGCCUGCCUGCUCCCACCAUGAUGAUAAUGGACUAACCAUCUGAAACUGUGGUACCAUCCCUGAGCAUGUGGUCCUGGGUUGUAUGAGAAGGCCAGUUGAGCAAGCCAUGAAGAGCAAGCCAGUCAGCUGCACUCCUCCUCCUAGGCCUCUGCUUCAGUUCCUGCCUCCAGGUUCCUCCCUUAAGUUCCUGUCCUGACUUUCCUCCAAAGAUGGACUGUGUUCUGAAAGUGUGAGAUGAAAUAAGUCCUUUCCUCCCCGCUGCCCCCCAGUGCUUUUGGUCAUGGUGUUUAUUACAGCAACAGAAACCAUACUAAGAUACCACCUGUCCUGGUUGGUGCAGCCACAAGACUGUGAAAGUCCCCAGGUGACCAUGUGGAGCAAAGCGUCCCUCCCCGACUACCAUCUUGCCUGCUACUUUGUGUGAACUGCAAACAAACAUAAGAUGCUGAGACCCUGUGGGUAACUUACUGCCUUAGCAUGUUAUAGUCUAGCUCCUCGACUUUGGGCAAGCUGGAGGAGGGUGACAGUGCCUCCCUCAGGAUCCAGCCUAGAGGGAUGCAGCAAUGACCACAUGAGGCACUGGGCCUACAACAGCCUGAUACACAGCUUGAUCCCAGGACCUUCUUUACCAGUGAGUCACACCCUGGGCCAUGUUCUCUUCUGAUACCCUAGGAAGAUGUUUAGUUGUUUCUUCUUGAAGUUCUUAAUUGAAGGAAUAGAGAGAAUUUAUAACGUCAGGAAGCAUACUGUGCACUCCAGAGGUUGGCGGGAUGGGCUUCUCCCUACUUCUGGCUCAACUCUUGGUCUUGCACCUGGUAUGGCUCAUGAUAGAAGGGUCCAGUCCAAAGAUGCCACCAUGAUGUUGAGGCACUUGGGCUCUCUGGCAUGUUUAAGCAUCCUACUUUGGCAGAUGGGACACAUUCCACAAGUUGGUGACCAGGUCUGGAAUGGCCUGGAAAUUGGAACUGGGUGAAGAGCCCCACUAUAUGUGAGGUUGCUGGGUUCUGCAAAUAAAAAGUCGGGAAGCUCAGAAUUUCAGAGAAGCAGUGAACACUGUAGUAUAAAUAUGUCACAUAUGGUGUUUGGAGCUUACUUCUCAUGGCCAACACAUUCUUUAUUUAGCUGAGAUUCAGGCAUCUGGAUUUCCCAUGUUUGUUGGCAGUGUGAGUUACAGAGGACCUGUGGUCUCUCACUGGAGAUGUCGCCCACACAAAAGAUGGAUGUGACACCAUGGCCAUGAGCAAAAAUACACACAGACAACUGACCACCACCAGCUGACAGGGGCACGGUUCUCUGAGCAAAUGACAGGGAAGUCAGAAUCAGGUGGAAGAGUCGCAGGAGAGCGGCAGCUCUGAGUGAAGGCAGUGAUUUUACUCCCCCAAAUCUAGCAGAAGGGCUGGCUCCCAUUGCAGCCUUUGACACCGCAGCAGGUCCUAGGAGUCCUCAUUGAUCACUCUCAUUGGCUCCCGUGUUUACCCAGGAAGUGUGUCAAGGGCUCUGCUGACGUAAUGAGUCUGUCUCAUCCCCGGAAACAAAACUUAAGGUGGAAGCCCAGAUCUUACAAAAUCCACAGCAGUCUGGAAAACCCACAGCACAAACUGUGAGCCUGGGGCUCAGCAGAAGGGCUCCACAUAAAGCAGCACGUGGGGAGCGGGAGGGGACAGCAGAGGGGACUUGUGACUCUGAACACAAGUCACUCUCCUUCCCCAGAUCUGUUUUCUCCAGCGGUGGAUUAUGCCACUGAAAUAUGAGAACACAGAGAAAUGGAGACGGAAGUCUUAGCGCUGAUUUCUCCAUUUUCUCUCUGAGUACUUCUUUUGCUUGAGUUGAGUUGAUCUUGUAUACAUUGUCCCUGCCCCAGAAGUUAACAGGACCUCACAAGCAGUCCCUAAAGUUAUUAAAACAAACAAACAAACCUAGAAAAUAAAACCAGGCAGAGCCUCAGCAGCCCUGGGAAUAUGGAGGUCCCAGGAAAAGAGAGGUCUCCUCUGCUGCCUCAGACAUACUGGAGGGAGGGAGUUCAGGCUCAGACCUUACUACACCCGCUUCCAGUCAGUCUUUCUCUUUUGAUUCUGUCUGUAUGACCCCUUGAAAAUCAUAAAACCAAACAUCUGUCAUGUUCACACUUGUUCCUCUGCCUUCCUUGUUUGUAAAUAUUCCCAUCCCUGGCUCUACCCUUUGCUUAGUCCUGUCUUGGAAGGCCAGAAGCUAAGGCCCUCCACACAACCCUAUUCCCAUGAUGCCUUUUGUGCUGGCCUCUCUGCCCUCUGGUUCAGUUCAGUCUGGAAGGAAUCUUGGACCAUGCAAAGCAGUUCUGGGGUGAGGGAGAGCAGCCCACGCCAGUCUCUGUUGGCAUGUGGUUCAGGUGGGAGAGUUUGUUUUGCUACCUGCAAUGAUUGCAGGUCAGAGCACAGCAUCUAAAGGACGUAGUCAUGGCCUGUUCCUCUUCAUUUCACAGGGUCUGUGGGGUGGACUCCUCACAAUUCUCACUACAGAAGAGGGCUUCUGGGUGAAUACCACAGUGCCUGAUAUCACCCAGCUAGUGAGCGGCCACCCUGGUGGGACAUGAACUCUACUUUCUUGUGUCUUCCUCUCUCCUCUAGCCUAUCUCUCUACCCUGAGGUUUUAAGCUAGAGUUCUAAACCACCAGUCCUGAGAGAAGAGCUUCCUAGAGUUGAGGGGGCUUCAGUGUUCUCCACCUUUAGCUAUAACUCACAGUUCUCUAGAGAGCUGUUAAAACUUUGACAGUUCCAGGGACUAGAAGAAUGGUUCACUGCUCUUGCAGAGCACUCAGCUUCAUUCCCAGUACCCAUGUUGAGCAGCUCAUAACUGCCUGUAACUCCGGCUCCAGGAGAUCUGACACCCUCUUCUAGACCCCUCAGAGACCUGCACUAAUACACGCACACAUACCCUCACAUACAUACACAUAAUUGAAAGUAAAAAUAAAUCUAAAAAAAAAAAAAACAUUGCUCAUCUUCAAACUAUUUAAUCUUGGAGUGAAGCCUAGGUUGGCCUGUGUGUGAUAGUUUCAGUUCUUUAAGUAGCUCUAAGCAGGCAGCUUCAAUGAGAACUAGUGGAAAUCCAACCCCUUUAGUGACAUGAUUAAACUAGCUGGCAGAGGGCCUUGGCCAAGGCCUCUCUCUGAGUUGGUGACUGAACCAGUGUCCUUGUGCAUGCUAAGCAUAUGCUCUACCACUGCCCUGUUGUGGGAUAUUUGUUCACUGUGUGAAGAUGUAUUGCUAAUUGGUGUAAUAAAAGCUGAAUGGCCAGUAGCUAGACAGGAGAGAUAGGCGGUCCUUCCGGGCAGAUAGAGAUCUCCGGGAAGAAAAAGGGCAGGGUUGCCAACUAAAUGCGGAAUAAGCAGGAUGGGCAAUACAGAAUAAAAGGUAACUGAGCCACAUAAAAUAAUGUAGACUAAAAGAUAUGGGUUAAUUUAAAUUAUAAGAACUAGUUAGGAACAAGCCUUAACAAAGGCAGAGCUGUCAUAAUUAAUAAUAAGUCUCUGCUCAUUAUUUGUGGGCUCAUGGCCCAAAGAAAUCCAUCUACAUAUGGUUGGUGCUCAACAUGGGGCUUGAAUAUCUAAACAUAGGGCCUAAGAAAGCUAAAAACAAAACAAACAAAAAAAAACCCCAACCAACCAACCAAACAAACAAAAAUGGUCUGGACAAGGAGCCAGAUGAGGUUUCCUAGUCCUGUAGACUCUCAAGAGAGCCCAUGCUUGGAGUACAGUGGAGCCAGCCACCAGCACCAUUCGCUAAAGCUGAGCCAUGUGGUGGCUGACAUGGCAGGUUAAAAUUUGUCUCAUGUGGGCAGAGAAUGCUAAAGCAGGUACAGUAUUUUAAAAAAUGUGCUUAAAUGCUAAGGAAAGAAAAGAAAAUGAGUAUAGUCAGUCAUACAAAAAGUAAUUUAAAAAUGAUAAAGUAAGGCCUUUAAAGAAAGAAUAAAGUAAUGUAAAAAAAAAAA